AACGAACGCUGGCGGCAUGCCUAACACAUGCAAGUCGAACGAGACCUUCGGGUCUAGUGGCGCACGGGUGCGUAACGCGUGGGAACCUGCCCUUAGGUUCGGAAUAACUCCCCGAAAGGGGUGCUAAUACCGGAUAAUGUCUUCGGACCAAAGAUUUAUCGCCUUUGGAUGGGCCCGCGUUGGAUUAGCUAGUUGGUAGGGUAAAAGCCUACCAAGGCGACGAUCCAUAGCUGGUCUGAGAGGAUGAUCAGCCACACUGGGACUGAGACACGGCCCAGACUCCUACGGGAGGCAGCAGUGGGGAAUAUUGGACAAUGGGCGAAAGCCUGAUCCACCAAUGCCGCGUGAGUGAUGAAGGCCUUAGGGUUGUAAAGCUCUUUUACCCGGGAUGAUAAUGACAGUACCGGGAGAAUAAGCUCCGGCUAACUCCGUG
rnacentral:rRNA from 1 species